AUACGUAGGGCGCGAGCGUUGUCCGGAAUGAUUGGGCGUAAAGGGCGCGUAGGCGGCCCGGUAAGUCUGGAGUGAAAGUCCUGUUUUUAAGAUGGGAAUUGCUUUGGAUACUGUCGGGCUUGAGUGCAGGAGAGGUAAGUGGAAUUCCCAGUGUAGCGGUGAAAUGCGUAGAGAUUGGGAGGAACACCAGUGGCGAAGGCGACUUACUGGACUGUAACUGACGCUGAGGCGCGAAAGUGUGGGGAGCAAACAGGAUUAGAUACCCUGGUAGUCCACACUGUAAACGAUGAAUGCUAGGUGUAGGGGGUAUCGACCCCUUCUGUGCCGCAGUCAACACAAGAAGCAUUCCGCGUGGGGAGUACGGCCGCAAGGUUGAAACUCAAAUGAAUUGACGGGG
rnacentral:rRNA from 1 species